rnacentral:pre_miRNA from 1 species
GAUGUACUCCCUCCGUCCGAAAAUACUUGUCCUAAAGAUGAAUGUAUCUAGACUUAUUUUAGUUAUAGAUACAUUCAUUAUAUCCAUUUCUAGGACAAGUAUUUUCGGACGGAGGGAGUACUAU